GCCUUGCUGGCUCAGCUGGUAGAGCAUGCGACUCUCGAUCUCAGGGCCGUGAGUUCAAGCCCCAUGUGGGGCG